UACGAUGGAUGGUCGCUGGCCACUUUUAGUAGUGCGCUAGAGGAAAGUCCGGACUCGGCUGUUUCCGGUUUAGACCGGAGCAGAAAGUUGGUGCUCGGCGCAAGCCGAGGCGGAGAGAUCCGACGGAAGCGAACGGAUACCCACGCGGUUCCAAUUAGCUAUAAAAGGGCCAUAGAGACGAGCCUAUCCGGCGACGGAUAGGGUGGAACGAGGUAACCCCCUCCACCGAGCAACCCAAAUUAAUGGUAGGGGCAACCCCAUAAGGGGUCGGUGGGUUCGCCCACUGAGAGAGAUGAUCAUCCUCGACAGAAUCCGGCUUACAGUC
rnacentral:RNase_P_RNA from 1 species